rnacentral:rRNA from 1 species
CAGCAGCCGCGUAAUACGGAGGGUGCAAGCGUUAAUCGGAAUUACUGGGCGUAAAGCGUGCGUAGGUGGUGGUUUAAGUCCGUUGUGAAAGCCCUGGGCUCAACCUGGGAAUUGCAGUGGAUACUGGGUCACUAGAGUGUGGUAGAGGAUAGUGGAAUUUCCGGUGUAGCAGUGAAAUGCGUAGAGAUCGGAAGGAACAUCUGUGGCGAAGGCGACUAUCUGGGCCAACACUGACACUGAGGCACGAAAGCGUGGGGAGCAAACAGGAUUAGAUACCCCAGUAGUCCCUGUCUCUUAUACA